rnacentral:rRNA from 1 species
CUGGUUGAUCCUGCCAGUAGUCAUAUGCUUGUCUCAAAGAUUAAGCCAUGCAUGUCUAAGUAUAAGCGAUUAUACGGCGAAACUGCGAAUGGCUCAUUACACAAGUUAUCGUUUAUUUGAUAGCACCUUACUACUUGGAUAACCGUGGUAAUUCUAGAGCUAAUACAUGCUGAAAAUCCCAACUCCGGAAGGGAUGUAUUUAUUAGAUUCAAAACCAAUGCCCUCCGGGCUCACUGGUGAUUCAUGAUAACUUCGCGGAUCGCACGGCCUUGUGCCGGCGAUGGUUCAUUCAAAUUUCUUCCCUAUCAACUUUCGAUGUUUGGGUAGUGGCCAAACAUGGUUGCAACGGGUAACGGAGGGUUAGGGCUCGACCCCGGAGAAGGAGCCUGAGAAACGGCUACUACAUCCAAGGAAGGCAGCAGGCGCGCAAAUUACCCAAUCCCGACACGGGGAGGUAGUGACGAAAAAUAACGAUACGGGACUCAUCCGAGGCCCCGUAAUCGGAAUGAGUAUACUCUAAAUCCUUGUACAAGUAUCAAUUGGAGGGCAAGUCCGGUGCCAGCAGCCGCGGUAAUUCCAGCUCCAAUAGCGUAUAUUAAAGUUGUUGCGGUUAAAAAGCUCGUAGUUGGAUCUGUGUCCUUCGACGCCGGUUCACCGCAUGUCGGUGCCAACUGGCGUUUUGCGGGACGUCUUGUCGGUGGUGUGCCAGGGAUCUUUGUUGUGCUGGGCUUUGCCCUAGUGCAGCUCUGGUUUCGGGCCACUUUCAUAAUCCCGCCGCGGUGCUCUUAAUCGGGUGUCGAGGCGGGCCGGCACGUUUACUUUGAACAAAUUAGAGUGCUUAAAGCAGGCUUGUCACGCCUGUAUACUGUGUGCAUGGAAUAAUGGAAUAGGACCUCGGUUCUAUUUUGUUGGUUUCCGGAAUCUGAGGUAAUGAUCAAUGGGGACAGGCGGGGGCAUUCGUAUUGCGACGUUAGAGGUGAAAUUCUUGGAUCGUCGCAAGACGGACCGAAGCGAAAGCAUUUGCCAAGUAUGUUCCCGUCGAUCAAGAACGAAAGUUAGAGGUUCGAAGGCGAUCAGAUACCGCCCUAGUUCUAACCAUAAACAAUGCCUGCCAGCGAUCCGCCGGCGUCUUUUCCGAUGACCCGGCGGGCAGCUUCCGGGAAACCAGAGCUUUUGGGUUCCGGGGGAAGUAUGGUUGCAAAGCUGAAACUUAAAGGAAUUGACGGAAGGGCACCACCAGGAGUGGAGCCUGCGGCUUAAUUUGACUCAACACGGGAAAACUCACCAGGCCCGGACACCGGAAGGAUUGACAGAUUGAUAGCUCUUUCUUGAUUCGGUGGGUGGUGGUGCAUGGCCGUUCUUAGUUGGUGGAGCGAUUUGUCUGGUUAAUUCCGAUAACGAACGAGACUCUAGCCUACUAACUAGACGUAUCUGGUAUCAGCAAUCGUGCUACCAGCGAUCAUAUCUCUUCUUAGAGGGACAGGCGGCUUCUAGCCGCACGAGACUGAGCAAUAACAGGUCUGUGAUGCCCUUAGAUGUCCUGGGCCGCACGCGCGCUACACUGAAGGAAUCAGCGUGUCUUCCCUGUCCGAAAGGACCGGGUAACCCGCUGAACCUCCUUCGUGCUUGGGAUUGGGGCUUGCAAUUAUUCCCCAUGAACGAGGAAUUCCCAGUAAGCGCGAGUCAUAAGCUCGCGUUGAUUACGUCCCUGCCCUUUGUACACACCGCCCGUCGCUACUACCGAUUGAAUGGCUCAGUGAGGCGCCCGGACUGGCCCAGGGGGGGGUGGGCAACCGCUACCCAGGGCCGGAAAGCUCUCCAAACUCGGUCAUUUAGAGGAAGUAAAAGUCGUAACAAGGUUUCCGUAGGUGAACCUGCGGAAGGAUCAUUA